CCCCACACAGCCACACUACCAGAAGGUGGGAACCAGUGACUGGCCGAAGAAGAACACGUUUGAGAAGCUGCUGAACAGCACUGAAGACCAGCUUCAAGAACUUCAGGGUUCCAGUCAGUCCUCUUACCAGGAGCUGAUUGGUCGGCUUUACCAGGAAAUGACAGUGGAAUAUGUCCAGAGUCUCCUGAAAGGAGAGGUCAAACUGAAGGACAGCAAUCAGCAGCAGAAGGCUUACGAGACUGUGCAAGAAAAUGGAGAGAAACUGCACGAGCUGUUUGCCAGAAUGGUGAGACUUGAUCUUUAAUGCACACUUUAACUGAGACACAAAUUAAAUCAAUCAAGCACAAACACUGAUCAGCAAAACAUUGUUUGACAGGGUGAAUCAGAAUCAGAAAGGGUUUUAUUGUCAAAUGUUGAGCAGGUUUACAACAUUAGGAAAUUGCUGUGGUACUUAUUGCAAAACAUACUGUGAGACAAACGCUUAAAUAAACAUAAAAAUUUAAAUUAAAAGUGCUAAGCAGAUUGAUAUAUACAUGUAUGCAGGUGAUGAUCAGUGCAAAAAUGGAACAGAUGCACAGAACACAGUAUAGUGUCAUGUGUUUGUGGUGGGAACAGUCAUAUGGUUAUUGUUCAUGAGUCCAACAGCAGAGGGGAAGAAACUGUUCUUCUGCCUGAGGGGAGCAGGUCGAACAAGCUGUGUCCAGGAUGAGAAGGGUCAGCUGUGAUCCGAGUUGCACGCCCCAGUGUCCUGGAGGUGUACAGGUGCUGCAGAGAUGGGAGUCUGCAGCCAAUCACCAUCUCAGCAGAGCACACAACACGCUGCAGUCUGUUUGUCCCUGAUGGUGGCUCCAUCAUACCACACGGUAAUGGAGGAGAUGAGGAUGGACUCAAUGAUUGCAGUGUUGUUGGCAGGUUGAAUUUCUUCAGCUGCCUCAGCAAGUACAUCCUCUGCUGGGCCUUAUGACGGAGGUGAUGGUGGGCUCCCACUUGAGGACCUGGGUGUUGGUGGUACCAAGGAAGCGGAAUGAGGCGAACAACCUUAGUCACAAAUUCAACUAACUACACUAAAAGAACCGUUGACGGGCUGUAUUUAAGUUUUGAAAUUUACCCUCUUACUUUGGUUAUACUUUUAAAAUCAAGUGAAUAAAAAGAAAAAUCAGUAAGAAAUAGAAAAAAGACAUUUCUCAAUAGAUAUUGGAUCUGGAAUGAUGAGAGGACAAGGAGUGGGAGGGGGUCACUAUUAUGAUACAGGGAUUAUAAUAAGCUAAAAUGAAUCCUUUGCCAUUGCAGUACAGGACUGGAGCAAAUUUUCAGCCUGUGUAACUGAAAGAAUUUAAAAUUCACAUUUACUGCCCAGCUAGCUUAAAAUUCCAGUGCAAUUACUCCAGAAGAAAAAACAUCAUUAUUUCCAAAAACAGCAGCUAUGCUGAUUACAGUUUGGGGAAACUUGCAGACUAAACUGACGUCGCUGAUUUGUCUUCACAGGGAUCCAAACAAGACUGGUUAAAGGAAAUCCUGACCAAGAUUGCAGAAGUGCUAAAACUCCAAGAUAUUCCUGCCAUACAGAUGCAAAUCGUUUCACUGGGAUCUGCUUAUCCCGACCUCAGAUUCAAAUUGAAUUGAAUCGAAUCGAAUCGAUUCGGGACCUUGUGAAUCGGAAUUGAAUCGAUUCUAGAAAUCAGUGACGAUACCCAGCCCUAGUCCGGGGCUACGUUCAGGGCCAUCACUGGAGGAGGCGUGUGUGCUGAACUUCGUGGUCCUCGAGCAGUGUUUUUUGAGGGGCUGGCCGAGGCCACUGCCCACUGGGUCCGCUUCCAUCACCUGCCACCAGACCGGAGGCUACACGGCGGAGCUCAUCAAACGCUGAGUUUAGGCGCCGGCGUGUGGGGUCCCACAAACCCCUUCACAGCGCUGCUUUAGGCCGGUGGCCCAGAAUUGCCCGACGGCCACGGGGCCGCGCUUCUGAGCCACGGGGAGCCGCACAGAGUCCUGGAAGUGUGUGUGGCCGGGGCACCUACUGCGGGAAUGUCCAAUGAGUUGGGACGGGUGUUCCGCGUCCAGUGUCGCCGGGGCUACAGCACCCGCCCCUGGUCCCGGAGGUACGUAGCACAUUCCGGUAAGGUGUCGAGAAGGUGGACUCGGGCUGGACGCAGAUCCUGGUCCACCAAAGCUUGGUUCAGCCUGGGGCGUUGGAAGCAGAAUGGGUGGAGGUGAAAUGUGUGUAUGGGGACACAAGUAUCCUGUGGUGCCGCUUCUGCUACAAUACAAGGGCAAAACGCAAGGGGUAAAGGCGGCAGUUGGUCAGCGCCUGUUGCAUCCCCUAAAUUUGGACACCAACUAAUUGGCCAGGGUUACAUAGCUUGCUGGGGCAGUAUGCGGGGAUGAGACGUGGGGUCAUCUAACACUGACUCUGGGGGGAGGAGGCAGAAAAGUGUGCGCAAGCCCUGUUUAAGGUCAUCUCCCAGGUCGGUAUUCCAAAAGAAAUACUGACCACCCAGGGCACGGCGUUCAUGUCUCGCACACUAAAGGAGCUAUAAAAAUUACUGGGCAUUAAAUCUGUUCAGACCAGUGUCUACCUCCUUCAGACUGACAGGCUGGUGGAGCGGCUGAACAAGACUUUAAAGUCCAUGAUUCAUAAGUUCAUACAUGAGGAUGAACGCAAUUGGGAUCGCUGGUUAGACCCUCUGUUUGCAGUGAGGGAGGUACCCCAGACCUCCACAGGAUUUUCUCCUUUGAGUUGCUGUAGAGCAGACAGCCAUAGAAGGUGCUCGACCUGAUUAAAGAAAACUGGGAGAAAGGGUCGAGCCCCGUGAAAAAUGAGAUUCAGUACGUGCUGGACCUGAGAGCAAAACUGCACAGGUUGGGGAGUCUGUCACGGGCAGGUGCGUCCGCAGGUGGAGGAAACAGCAGCGAUUGCAUCCUGUCUGCGCCGGAAGACCAAAAAGGAGGUGGGACGUCUCCUGGGGCUGGCAGGCUACUACUGCCGGUUUGUGCCUAGGUUCGCGGACCUGGCCAGCCGCUUGACCGAUCUCACCAGGAAAGGUGCCCCCGAUCUGGUCCAGUGCCAGGUGGCGUUUGUGCAGCUAAAACAGGCUCUCUGUGGGGAGCCGCUGCUGUUCACAC
ensembl:lncRNA